UACGGGGGGAGCAAGCGUUGUUCGGAUUUACUGGGCGUAAAGGGCGCGUAGGCGGCCACGACAAGUCACUUGUGAAAUCUCCGGGCUUAACUCGGAAAGGUCAAGUGAUACUGUCGGGCUAGAGUGCAGAAGGGGCAACUGGAAUUCUCGGUGUAGCGGUGAAAUGCGUAGAUAUCGAGAGGAACACCUGCGGCGAAGGCGGGUUGCUGGGCUGACACUGACGCUGAGGCGCGAAAGCGUGGGGAGCGAACAGG
rnacentral:rRNA from 1 species